CUCAAGCUCUAAGUCCGUGAAGCCGCAGCGGUGGGGGCCUGCAGGCCCGGCAGCCGGGAGGGCCUGGUUCGGGGCGGCUGCCUGGCGCCUUUUCAACGUCCUCUUCUGACUGUGCAGCUCGAAUCCGCGGCGUCCCCGGAGGGCCAGAGGGGGAAACGACCCCGAUAGAAACCCGACCGCGAAGGGGAGGAGGGGCGCCUCGGAAAUGUCUCCCGCCCUAAAUGAGCGAGCCCCCUACUCCUACUCCCGAGGCUGAGCCGCCGCUUUGAGUCAGCCUCGGCCGCCCACGCUGGCUGCUGGGGCUGUAGGAGGCCACUGCAAAGGUUCAACCUCCGCACGCCCCCCGUGGGGCCUGGACUUUGCUCUCAGCACAGCUGCCUUCGCGGGCGCCUAGUCCCCACAACCCCUGCUUCACCUCCACAUAGGGGGAGGACAGGGGCUCUCGCUUCUGCUUCAUUUGGACCCCUCGAGAGUCUUCACUCCCGCUUUGGCUCCCGGCCUCUGAACCUUAUGAGAGCUCACUUCUUUGAGGCGAAAAGUCGAGGCAUCGCCAAGAACCUUCAAAAUGAAUGCGGGGCCGGGCAAACUUUGCAACACGCAAUUGCAGGGCUGUGGAUCCAUCCACAGGUGUGGAUUCUGCAAUGCUGCACAGAAACCUACUGCAGCCUCAGACCAACAGCAGCAGCAGCAGCGGCGGCGGCGGCAGCAGCAGCAGCAGCAUUAGCAGCAGCAGCUUCUCUCAAUGCUGAGUAUUGAAUACAGAUAAUCAUGAGGCCCAAGACCCUAAGGAACAGUGCAGCCAGGAGUCGGAAGGAGCCUGGGUUUCUGAAUCAUCACAUGGAGGGGAGCUGUCUUCAGCUGGGAGAGCUGUCUUCAGUUGGAUACUGGGUGAGUGAAAAAUAAACUCCUAUUGUUUUUGAGCAAUUAUAAGAUUUUGUAUGCUCGUUACCACAGCUUAGUUUAUUUAAUUAAUAUAAGAAGCAACAUGAUCUCUUUUUCUCUGUGUGUGCUAAACAUGUUCUCUCUCUGUAGGCUGGCUUUCGUUUCAAUUCUGCAUGUAACUCAGUUGUUAGCUGGAGCUUCCCUUUCCCAUAAGGUCUAGGUGAAAUUGGAAUGAUCACCUUAUCAUAUGGGUAUCUAAAGCUUUCCCAAGAUAUUUCUGAAUUCCCAAUGGAGCUUCUGUUUUCUGUUUUUAAAGAUUCCUUUCCCUUUUGAAGUCUUCAGCUCAAAUGGUCUCUCUCUGUCUCUCUCUCUCUCUCUUUUUUUUUUCCUUCUUCUUUUUUUAGAGAUAGAGUCUUUCUUUACUGCCUGGGCUGGAGUGCAGUGGCACAAUCACAGCUCACUGCAGCCUGGAACUCCUGGGCUCAAGCAAUCCUCCUGUCUUGGCCUCUGAAAAUGCUGGGAUUACAGGUGUGAGCCACCGUACCUGGCUGGUCUCUGUUCUGUUCCACCCUUUUUCCUUUUUUUUUUUUUCCUUUGAGUUACACAUGCAUACAUAUGUACUUCACACUCACACAAAUUAUUUAUGAGAGUAAGAGAUUGUAGUGAGAAAUUGGUGAGGAAUAAGUAGAGGAAGGGCUUACACUCACAGGGGUGCAAACCUCAAAUGAAACAGACGUGUCACCACCCUGAAGUCACCUACCACUGGUGAGUAUCCCUGGCCCUUCACUUCACCUGGCCCCAACUUGUCUCCUUAGUUUUCAUUCUUCUCUCUCCCUCUAUUUGUCAUUUUCCCCUUUACUUGUACCAAGAGCCAUCAAAAGCCCUUGGAUAUUCUGGGAAGACUAACAAGUUGGUACAUUGGGAAAUCUAACAAUUGGAUGCUUUUUCAAAUUGCUACUUGGAGGAGAGGCAGAAUCCUGCCUGGGGUACAAAGCAAAGUAGAAGGACCACACUCAGCCUCUGUCAUCCUGAGCAAUUCAGCUCUGGCCCCAAUAUGCACAACUUACUAAAAUAGAAGAAAUGCAUAGAAUAAAAUAGAAUAAAUGGAUUUUGCUCAACCCACCCUUUUUAGAGUUUUGUUUGUUUGUUUGUUUGUUUUAAACAACUAUCUGUCUUUAUGCAAUCAUGUCCCUGGGGACUCACCCCAACCCCAUAUGGCUUAUCAAAGUGUUCAUUAAAAAUGUACCCUUCUCUUUCUGAGUUUUGUUAGCCUAAAUUUUCCAAUUUUCUUUGCAUUUUUGGUGACAUUUAAAUUAUCCUAAUGAGGUUUCACUACUGCUUAUAGAUUGGCAUUCCAGGCAGGUCUACCAGCUUCCUCCUAAUAUAGGAUUGCUCAACUCUUUCUCUACAUUUUAGGAGAAAAACUGAGAAGAUUUCUUCUUUAUUUCCAGUGGAAUGUCUUUUGUCCUUCUCUGAUGUCUUGGCAUCAACUUAUGUUUGUUAUUGAAGGAUUUCCUGAGCAGCUUAUCAUGGUACUUUCAUAUACAAAGAUAAUUCUUUCCCUAAAAUAAAUUUAGGUUCUAGCUGGUAAUAUCAUAAAAGCUUUUUUUUUUUUUUAACCUUGUUUCAUAUGUACUUGAUAGAAUGCAGUCAUUUUAGCCCUGGAACUAAAUUAACUUUCAACUCCAGCGGGGUUGUCAUGUACAGUUGUAUAGGUUGUACACUAAGCCACCCUAGGGAGCACCUUUUACCUAUAGUCUAUGUCACUGGUAAUUUCUUUUUUUUCUUUUUUUGAGAUGGAGUCUCACUCUGUCACCCAGGCUGGAGUGCAGUGGUGCAGUUUCGGCUCACUGCAACCUCCGCCUCCCAGGUUCAAGCCAUUCUCCUGCCUCAGCCUCCCGAGUAGCUGGGAUUACAGGUAUGUGCCACCACGCCCGGCUAAUUUUAUUUUGUAUUUUUUUUUUUUUAGUAGAGGUGGGAUUUCACCAUAUUGGCCAGGCUGUUCUCGAACUCCUGACCUUGUGAUCCACCCACCUUGACCUCCCAAAGUGCUGGGAUUACAGGUGUGAGCCACUGCACCUGGCUGUCACUGGUAAUUUCUAUAGUUGUGUAGUCCACAACCUGUACAACCAUAUGUUGUAUAGUCCUGUCUCAAGGACCACCCACCAUCCAACUAACUAUUAAUCUCAAUGGCCAAAUUCCAAAUUUCUGGAGGAAAACAUUUGGUGGUCCAUUUUGGGCCAGUUGUCCUCUCUUCUCCAAUCAGAUAUGCUCAGAUUGGAAACAUCAUGUUGUAGGCACAUAUGUCCAGAGCCUCAAUGCCUUUGGAGAGCCCAUCUGGGGGAAAUGGGAAACUGUUCUCAGAGAAGGGGUUGUAUGAGAAAGGCAGACAUUUCAAAACACGGCAUUACCAAGGGCCAGUGAUUAAAAAAAUGAAUAGUCCAAAGGUAUAUCGAAUAUAAUCUAAGCUGAUGUUUUUCAAACUAUGAGGUAUGACCCAUUAAUGGGCUAUGAAAUCAAUGUAGUGAGUCAUAUUUCUAAAUAACAUAGAAAUGAAAUAAAAGAGAUUAGAGAUUAGGAAAUAUUAGCAUGCAACCUACCUAGUAAAGGUAAACUAGUAUAUAAAGUGUGGAUUGUGGUGCAACAUGAUCAAAAACCAAACCAAAGCCCAAACCAUUUCACUCCUAUCUGCCUGCCCACAGAUUUGAUGCAGGUGCCCUAGGGACAUUUAUCUGAGAGGAUCUUUCUAGGCCUUGUCUCCCUCACUACUCCUGUGAUCUUGCCUUAUUUUCCUUGCUGAAACUUUGUUUUGAAUCUGAUUCCUGCUCCCCAUUCAUUCAGGUCUCAGACUUUCUUUCUCUCAGCUCCAUGUCCAGGCCCAACUCUGGGAAGUUCAGCCUGGUUUGACUCCCCAGCGUCCCAGGAAGUGAAAGUUGAAAAAAUUAUAGCACUGUGAGUUGCCAAGCCCAGCCUUCCUUUGCCUCACUUGCUAGGAAAUCGAACCCUUCCUUGGUUCCUGAGCCCACCCUUAUCUUGGCAGAUGGUUGGUUGGAGUCUCCAGCCUGCAGAAGUAGGACCUCAAUUUAGUUGUGCUCAUCUGAGCCCAGUAUCCCAAUGGCAUGGCUUAUGUCCCAGAGGCUUGCUUGCUUCCUGAACUACAGCCUAUGGCUACCUUUGCCUAAUUGAAACAAUUGAACUUUUGCUUACAUUUUCUGCUCUGUAUUCUCUGUGCUAUGGUUUUGUAAGCCAAGUUGUCCUGGAGAUUGGACAAUGUCGUUAACAUCUCCCUCUUCCCAUUGAUAGGCACAGGUUAUGUCCCUUGUCUGGAUGAACCCAUGAGCAGAAUCCUGCUGCCUGCCUGUCUUCCAGAACCCCCUCCCACAUGUUGCCCAUGGAGAUCACCUACAAGCUUGCUGGGGACAACAGUUUUGUGCAUCAGGCAUGUACAUGGGACCACCCUCCUCCUACUUCUCACACCCAUGGAUUCCUUCUCUGGAUCUAUGGGUUUAUUGUCUGUGGCUUCCUAUACCUGCUUCCUGUCUCUUGAUUUUGAUGACUAGUUUGGAUGUCCUUCUCUGCAUCCAUGGCCUUGGUUCUCCUACCUCCUUUCUUUUUUGAACUGGCCAAGCCUUCGAGGGAUAUCUACAAGUUCUUCUAAUAAUUCCCCUUAUAUAGGGUUGCUGGAUUUAGCAAAUAAGAAUACAGGACACCUUGUUAAAUUUACAUUUCAGCUUAGCAACAAAUUUACAUUUCAGCUUAGCAAUAAAUAAUAUUUGCAUGUCCCAUGCCAUCUAUGGGACAUACUUCUAUUAGGAAAUUAUUCACUGUUUAUCUGAAAUUCAGAUUUAACUGUGUAUCCUGUUUUUUAUCUGGCAACCCUACACCUACAGUUCCUUGCUGAGGAAAUGGCCUUAAGCUCUUUAUGCACAGGUAGGUGGUCAUGCUGUGUCCCAUAGGACCCCACCCCUACCCCAUCCCCAACGUCAUAGCUAAUUGGAUCAGGAGUGAGCACUUGACCCAAGGUCAGCUAGUGCAUAGGUUGGCCCAUAGUCUAAAAAGUAGCCUGGUGCAAGACCUUUGCACUAGAGGGAAAUAGUGUUUAAGUGAACCAAAUCAGAGGUUCUCCCUCAGUAGUCAGAGAGUAAGAGAAUAAUCAGUAAGAGAGAGUGAGAGAAUCAGUUGGUAGGAAGAAAAAAGCCAAAAGAUACAUAGAGAGAAAAAAACAGUAAAUACAAUUCAUGAAGUCGUAGAAGUCCUGAACAAGCUGCUCUAUGGGGAGGGAAGAAGGAUGGAAUCAGGACUUCGUCAGUUGCAACAGGAGCCGCUGAAGUAGAAGGAGAGAGAAAGGAAACAGCGGAGGCAUGGUAAUGGUAGGAUGCCAGGGACCAGUCAGCACCAGACCUGAAAGUCCAUGAGAUAACCUGCUGAUUUGACUACCAGCUUCCAGAUCCCAAACCAAGAGCAAAACUCCCUAAGACUCCCAAACUCCCUAGGCUGGGCCGUGGAUUUUUUUCUUUCUGUGCGGUCUGGUGGUUUAGCUUGGUUCACACGAGAGGCCUACCAACUUGGCUGAGCUUUCUUAUUUCUAUUUCUAUCAUUACAAUGAAUCUCCAUAAUUUCUGGUGUGAAGGUAACCUAACCUAGAAGGGAAGCACUCUUAGCUUUGUUUGUGCUGUUCAACACACCAUCCAGGCGAAGGGGACCCACCCCACCCCUGUCCAUCUCUCACUGCCAUGCAUAUCUCCAGAUACUGAUACCUGCUGGAACUGACCUGGAACUUCUGACCCUAGGCCUUAUAGCACUGCCUGCCCGUAUGAAAUCUUGGUUCUGGAAUCUUCCCAUCCUCACUGACCUAGUGCCUAGCACAGUGUCUGACACAUGCCUGGAGAACAAUGACUAUAUGCACAAAUGCAGUCAAAUUCAUCUCUUUUGGCUUGAGUGGUUGUGGUGGAGAGGAGAUAGAAGCCCUGAAUGUGAGUUCUGGCUCUGCAACUUCCUCACUACAUAACCAUGGGCAAGCUACUCAAAUCCUUUAAGCCUCCGUUUCCUCCUCUGUGAAAUGAGGAUGGCGUUAUCUACCUGUUAGAGCUAUUGUGAGGUUUAAAAUAGCAGACAUGUGAAAGCCUAUAUAUAACAGGCCCUCUGAAAAACUUUACUGCAUCUAAGUAUAAGGAAGCUGCAUUUUGUUAGGGUUGCACUUUAUGAGACCUCAGAUGAGUAGAAAACAAACAAACAAACAAAUCUCAUGAUAUAAGAGUCCUCUUGGCAAAGGAUGGCAGCCAUUUAUGUUGGCCAGCUGGCAAGAGAAGAAGCAAAGUUUAUAGUUUGCUGGGAUUGCAGGUCAAAAAUCUUGCAAUUUUGGACAAAUUUUUAUUUUUAGAUUAUUUGGAUUCUUUUCUUUUCUUUUCUUUUCUUUUUUUUUUUGAGAUGGAGUCUCGCUCUGUCAUCCAGGCUGGAGUGCAGUGGCGCAGUCAUGGCUCACCGCAAGCUCUUCCUCCCAGGUUCACGCCAUUAUCCUGCUUCACCCUCCUGAGUAGCUGGGACUACAGGCGCUCACCACCAUGCCUGGCUAAUUUUUUUUUUUUUUUUGUAUUUUUAAUAGAGACGGGGUUUCACCGUGUUAGCCAGGAUGGUCUUGAUCUCCUGACCUCGUGAUCCGCCCGCCUCAGCCUCCCAAAAUACUGGGAUUACAGGCGUGAGCCACCACGCCCAGCUUGGAUUAUUUUCAAAAUUUCAAAAAGAUGAAUCUUUAUUAUUACUUUUGUAUUAGUCUCCUUUAAAUGUACUUAAAUCAAAUUUGCUUACAAUAUCCCUGCCCCCAAUUCCAUGAUUUGAGGGAGAAGAAGAUGAAAAAUGUACUUUGUGAUACAAAAUGGAUGACUCUUUAUGGUCCUGCACAGCUGCAUGUUCCAGCAUCACAUUAACCUCUGGAUCUUCUCAGCAUUCACUCUGGAAUUUUUAAAAUGUCAUAACAGUGUAUUUUCAAAAUAAUAUCCUUGUGCACCCCCUCCUCCCCAAUCGUGUAAUAUUGUCAGGAUGUUUUAUCUGGUGCCAUAUAUCCUGCACAUGACAAAUCCAUUUCCCCAAACAAACCAUCGCAUAUGUCCACACUGUCCAUAAAUUUUGAAUCCUGACAUCAACACUAUUACCCUCUGACGUUUGGGUUGGCCUGAGUUGUGCAAAAUUGAGGGGGUGAUGUUUUUAAGGAAUGAGGGGAUGUCACUCUUUUCUUUCUGAUGGGUCCCCUCUGGAGAAAGUGAUGUCGGGAACAUGCAAAACUUAACCCUACUGGAGAAAGCCCCAGAUACUCUCCCCAGGGUAUCCAGAGAUUAAACCGGCCAGAUCUGUAAGCAUCUCCACCUCUGGGGGUGAUAACAAGGUCACCCUAUACUUAGGUUUGGCUUUAUAAUAAUACAUCUGGCAUCAAUAGAGAUUCCUUCUUUUCAGAGUGCUUUCCUAUUUAUGAUCUCAUUUUGCCCUUGCAGGAGGAAGAAAGGGAGCUGGUUAGGAAGCAAACUUGAGUUUCCCAUGCUCUGUGGCUGAGCAAGUCACUUCACCAUUCUCAGGUUCAGUUUCUUCAUCUGUGAAGUGGUAUUAUAAGGGCUGUUGACUGCUUAGGGUUGUCUAAGUGCAAAUGUUGCUGUGGGUUGGGCAGGAAUGCUUUAGGAAAUACAAAAAGCCAUAGACAGAACUGCACUGUGAUGAUAAAAGUCAUUUAGACACUCUGGAAGCUAUAGAGCUGGAAGGAACUUCAGAAAUAAUAGUAAAGAGGUUUCAGUCUUUUAUCUUGUGAAGAUGCACAGAUGAAUCGUGGGCAGGAGCAGGACACAUUACUUUGGUGGCUCAGAUUUUUGGUCUCUCACUUUAAGAGGCACCUAAACGGCAAGCAAAAUGCCAUCGCUGGCAUUGGCUCCUUCUCCACUCCACUCUCACUCACUCAAGAAAGCAUACCAGAAUGUUAGUGAGAGAGGUUAUUAUAAGGGUAACCUUGAUUUCACUCUAAUUUAUUUUUCAAAAAUGCAAACUCAGGAUUCUCACAUGGAACAAAACCCUGACCCAAACCAACUUAAGCAAGAGUUGAUAUUUAUUGACUCGUGAAAUUAAAGAAUAUCCAGCAGUAGAGGCUUUAGUCCUGGCUAGAUCCAGGGGAUCAAAUGGUUUUGUCAGAACUUAGACUAUUUAUUCAUCUCUAGGUUCUACUUUUCUUUCUAUCGACACUGUCAGACAGAGUCUUUUCAUGAGUGAUAAAUGGCUGUUGGCAGGCUUCGGUUUGUAUCCCCAAAGCUUAGCACCCUCUGUGAAAAGAGAGCUUUCUUCUCCCAAUAGUUUCAGUGUUAAGUUCUAGGAUUAAGACUCAUUGGACUGACUUGGAAUCACUGUCCCCUAUCCUUGAAUCAGCCACUGUUUUCAGGGCAGUGGGAUAUGCUGACUGCCUAGGACUACAUCUUCUCUUUCUUUCUCUCCAGGAUGGAAGUGGGGAUGGAGGUGGCAUCGGCCUCAUUUGAACCACAUGGACUAAGAGGGGCUAUGGGAGUAUUCCCCAAAGGAAGACUGAGGGGCGUUACUAGAAAAUGGGAGAAUGGAAGCAGAGUGGGCAAAACCAACAGAUGUUCCCUAUAGUAAAUAAAAAAUUUGGACAAUUAUUAGUGAGCAAGUACUUAUAACAUAUAUGGCACAUGGGAUUGUGACUCACCAGUGUGUUAGCACAAUAUGGUCAAAAACCUCUGAUCCAAUUCAACCUACUCAUCUUAACGAUUUUAUCAGCAUUUAAUAAGUUUGUUUUGGCCAUCAUGUGUUAUAGUUUUGUUUGUGGUUUUGACACCUCAUUAGAGGUUUCAUCAGUGUAAGGAGCCAACCUAAGAGCUCUUCUCACAAGUUUCCCAAGAGAGAAAUUGCCCCUCCAAAUGUGAGGAGUCUCACUUUAUAUAGAUAGCAUCCACACUUCUUGCAGUGGAAAACAAACCUUAUAAAAUGUAAUACGUUUGGUUUCCUAACUUUUUCAUGACCCUGGGGUGGUAGAAGGAAGUGCAAGUUUUAUCACUUGGAUUUAGAGACAAGGAAAUUGAAAUGGAGAGAGAAUUGGGCUCACAUGCAGGCAGCAUGUCUAGCUGCCUCCAUCGUGUGAUCUGAGGCACCCCAUGAGGCCUAUGAUUACUGUAAACCUCUAAAAUAAAUAAAAAAUAAAACAAUCUCUGCCACUGAAGUGCUUCUUAAUGAGAUGUGUGUAGUUUAAUGGGAUCAAGGCAUUGGAUCACUUGAAGGACAAUGUAUAAUUAAUGCGUUUUUACAAGUUGGUUCAAUUCAAAAAAUACUUAUUGAGGAUCUACUACUAG
rnacentral:lncRNA from 1 species